rnacentral:rRNA from 1 species
UACGUAGGUGGCGAGCGUUGUCCGGAUUUACUGGGCGUAAAGAGCGCGCAGGCGGUCGUUCAAGUCGCGUGUGAAAGCCCCGGGCUCAACCUGGGAAUUGCAUUUGAGACUGCAUAGCUAGGGUGCGGAAGAGGGAAGCGGAAUUUCCGGUGUAGCGGUGAAAUGCGUAGAUAUCGGAAGGAACAUCAGUGGCGAAAGCGGCUUCCUGGUCCAGCACCGACGUUCAGGCACGAAAGCGUGGGGAGCAAACAGG